rnacentral:rRNA from 1 species
CACGUAGGGGGCGAGCGUUGUCCGGAUUUAUUGGGCGUAAAGAGCUCGUAGGCGGCUCAGUAAGUCGGGUGUGAAAACUCCAGGCUCAACCUGGAGACGCCACCUGAUACUGCUGUGGCUAGAGUCCGGUAGGGGAGCAUGGAAUUCCUGGUGUAGCGGUGAAAUGCGCAGAUAUCAGGAGGAACACCAGUGGCGAAGGCGGUGCUCUGGGCCGGAACUGACGCUGAGGAGCGAAAGCGUGGGUAGCAAACAGG